rnacentral:lncRNA from 1 species
UCAAGUUGUCAAUGAAACAGUUAGAUUAAGGUAUUCAAUAACAAUAUCACAUAUGCAAUAAGGUUAGAUUCUAGAAGGUAACAACCCAAAUAACAAUAUUUACUCCAUCUUGGUUUACAACAAGCUAUACUAAGUUUAAUUAACCCAAAUGACAAUAUUUACUCCAUCUUGGAUAAGGUUACAACAAACUAUACUAGAAGUUUAAUCAACCCAAAUAACAAUAUUUACUCCAUCUACCAAGAACAAACAAGUGGAGUAAUAAAUUUUAUUCUUCACAUUUUGCCUAUUGCAUGCAUGUUCUCCAUCUCUUGCUUCAUUCCGUUAAUCUUUCGAAGUAAUCCGGAAAUUAUUUGUCUUGAUCUAUCACACAUUGGAGGAUCAUACAAAGCAAAAAACUGACAAGCAUUCCUCUGUAAACAAAGAAGUUUUCAAUUUUAUGUGCAAGUAAAUUGAAUGGAAGAGAUAUAUAAAAAAAUUGAAACCCUAACACACUUACUUUUCCAUAAUUCGGACAUGAUAAAAUCAUUCUUCCUGGGUUUGAAUCGGUCCAUGUUGUUUUAAGUUGAGCUCGCCUCUCACAAUCACAAUGUGCGUUCAUGGCUGCUCAUAUCCUUCCUAAAAUCAUUAUUCCGAGAACUAAAUUCGAGAAAUUAAAUAGUACUAGAAGUCCUAAAUUUCGAAUUGAAGAGACGUGAGCAUGAGAAUCAAUUAAAUAUGAAAAUUAAUUGGGCCGUUAAGGAGAUGUAUCUGUAGUUUAAAAGACAUUCAACCUAACGAAGUUCCUAUGUUUCUCAAUAUAAAGUCCAGUCCAAUUAGAGAUGUGAUAUAAACUAAACUAUAACUACUAUUUAACUCAUCCAAUUUGUUAAAAACAAGUUCGGGAAAAUGUUUUAGCAACCGAUUUUUUUUUUGAGAAUUUAUGAUGCAGUUGUAUCCCUUCAAGUGAUCCCUGCAGGAAUCCUUGGAACCUAUUUUCAUUUGAAUUUAUUUACAUUUUUUAUAAGUUCAUGUCCACAAAUAUAUGUUUUUGGAUCAAGUAAAACAUAGGAUAAAUAAAUUUUCAUUUGAUAUUAUCUACUAAAAUAAUCUUUUAGGAUCAUCAUCCAAAAUACUUGAAUCUUUCUAAAACUACCUGCUCCAACCUCGAAUUCCUAUUUGAUGAGCUCUAUUUUUCCUUGCUUUCUACAUUCAACAUAGCUACUAUUAAUAUUUCUAUUCAAUAGUUAUAAUUUGCAGUAAAUAUUUAAACCCCAAUACAUAUACCAGGUUAUUUCCUCAACCUCCUAACCCCUGUAAAUAUUUGAAAACAAAUAAAUACUUCAUACUCAAAUAAACAUCCAUAAACACACCUUAGAAUGUUAAACCUGCCUUGCAUCACCCACCUCCAGUAAGUAUGCACAUCCUCCACUAAACAAAUUAUAAACUUUACAAAGGAAAAUCCCUAAAACUGAAACUAUUGUCAACUCAAAACAAAGGAAAAUUCUUGAAUUCAAACUAUUGUCAGCUCAAAAUAAAGGAAAAUCUCUAGUACUCAACAAAACUUUCAUGAAUUGAACUGGGUCAAAAUUAUUGAAAACCAAAACAAAAAAAUCCAAAAUUUUAAGCAUAAUUCAACACUAACAAAAUGCAGAAACCCACUUCAAAUUUUCUCAACAGUAGACAAUUCAAGCAUCAAAAAGACCAGACAACAUUAUUAAGAGUAUAUAUUAAUCGAACACUGGAACGAGAAGAAAAAAGAGGGGGGUUUGUUGCUCUGACCCAAUUGGAACGACUAGAUGGCCGGACGAGGUUUGGUGAGCCGUGCAGUGAAUUGAGCGAACGAAAGAAGAAAUAAGGGUCGAAUUUAGGAGAUCUGCACUGCACGGGGUUUGGUGAGCCGAACGAAAUCGACGAGAGUGAAUUGAGCUAAGGUCUCGUGUGUUAUUUUGGAUGUUCAGAGUGCGAGGAGAGAGAAGAAAUAAGGGUUUUGUUUGUUUUGGCUGAUCAGGGUGCGGGAGAGAAAAAAUUUGGGUCUUAUUUAUAGGUGAGUUGGGUGAGUAAGAUAGUGGCUAAUCGGGUAUGAUAUAUAUAUAUAUAUAUAUAUAUAUAUAUAUAUAAGAUGUAAACGCA